CCCUUAGAUGUUCUGGGCUGCACGCGCGCUACACUGGUGCGUUCAGCGAGUUUAGCACCUUAACAGAUAUGUUUGGGUAAUCUUCUGAAAACGCACCGUGAUGGGGAUCGAUUAUUGUAAUUAUUAAUCGUCAACGAGGAAUUCCUAGUAAGUGUGAAUCAUCAGUUCGCGCUGAUUACGUCCCUGCCCUUUGUACACACCGCCCGUCGCUGCUACCGAUUGAGUGGUCCGGUGAAUUAUUCGGACCGGUGGACUGUGGGGAGACCCGCGGCCUGCUGGGAAGUCUUGUGAACCUUAUCACUUAGAGGAAGCAGAAGUCGUAACA
rnacentral:rRNA from 1 species